rnacentral:tRNA from 1 species
CAAAAUGUAGCUUAACCAAAGCAUUUCGCUUACACCGAAAAUAUGUCUGUUAACCCAGACCAUUUUGA